GGGGUUAGGUGUUACCUGUGUGAGGUAGAGGUAGUGUCGGGGUUAGGUGUUACCUGUGUGAGGUAGAGGUAGUGUCGGGGUUAGGUGUUACCUGUGUGAGGUAGAGGUAGUGUCGGGGUUAGGUGUUACCUGUGUGAGGUAGAGGUAGUGUUGGGGUUAGGUGUUACCUGUGUGAGGUAGAGGUAGUGUCGGGGUUAGGUGUUACCUGUGUGAGGUAGAGGUAGUGUCGGGGUC